rnacentral:rRNA from 1 species
AAACUUUCAACAACGGAUCUCUUGGUUCUGGCAUCGAUGAAGAACGCAGCGAAAUGCGAUAAGUAAUGUGAAUUGCAGAAUUCAGUGAAUCAUCGAAUCUCUGAACGCACAUUGCGCCCCGUGGUAUUCCGCGGGGCAUGCCUGUCCGAGCGUCAUC